AGGUAAAUUGUCAAGUGCUCCCAUCUCUUCAAAAAAGAAAAAAAAAAUGAAUUAACAAAUAUGUAAGGUGCAUAAUAGUCUUGGCAAGUAAAUAAUAUGAUCCAAUCUCAGUAGUAUACAUUUUUUAUAUUUUCUGUCAACUGUAAGAGGCAGAUCUUCGGACUUUUGAUAGGUUACUUUAUAAAAUUUUUCUUUCUUUUAAAUGUUAACAACUUCUUACAAUAAUGUUACUUUUUUUUUUUUUUUAAGAAAUAACAGUGAUGUAGUGAUGCUACUGGUAUCAAGCUUCAAAAAUUUUAAUAUUAAUGGCAGUCCUGUGCUAUUCUACAUCCAGCUUUACAUGGGCAAGACUUUAGAACUGGAGGCAGACAUUUUCAAGAGGAAAUAGCUGAAGGCCAUUUUUUUGUGAUCUCUAAGGCGUUUCUUAUAAUGAUAUUAACUGAAACACUCACUUCAUCUUGUAGAUAGAUAGAAAUUUGUAUCUAAUUUGAGUUAUCAUCAUUCCCUGAUGCUGAAUUCCAUGAGUGGGUUUCCACCCCACCUCCACAGGAAGAUAUCUAAAUGAAUAUAUUUAAUGUGGUAAAGUGACAUUUGAGCAAAAAUGUUAAAGCCUCUCUACCACAGUAGCAUAGUAUCAAAGUAUGUUUUUCACCUGCAAAAUCCUAGGUUAUGAUUUGGUGUAAAAGUUUGUAUUAAGUCUUGGCAAUACCUACUCUUAAGGGAUAAUGUGAUAAUAUUCUGUCUUUUGUAACCUGGGAAUACAAGAACUAUCUCAAGGAAAAGCCAUUUUAUAUGAUCUGGACAAUACCAUUUUCCUGUAUUCCGAGGACAGAUAACAAUACCAUCUUUUUCUGAAUAAAAGAAGGUGUUUAGCAUUACUAUCCUAAAUAGGGAAUUGAUACUGUUAGUUACAUUACACUUUUUUUCCUCAUUCGUCCCAGGGAAGAAAUAAUUUGUAUUUCUAUGAGAUGCAUUUUAUUUUCUUGCCCAACAAGUCAGUAGGUCUUAGCCUAUUCAUCACAGUGGACUCUCACACUUUACAUGUUUUGCGUUCUUUCCCUUCUUAUCCAGUUAUUUCUUUUGCUUCCUGGGCUCAGAUAGCAGGGUAUGGAAAUAAAUGUUUAGGUCUCCUUCUCAGUGGCACACUAAACAAGCUAUUUAUUUAUUCACAGUAAAUAUACAUGCUAAUAAUCUUUAAAUGUAUGUAUAUAUUUGAAUUCUCUCAGGCCUUUAGCUCUAGCUGUAAAGAGUUUUUGUUACAAAUGCAGAUUUGAUUAAGUAAGCAUUAGGUUGAUGUUUUCAGUAGUGAAAAUUAUUUUGCUUGGGUGAAUGCAAAUCAUUUAAUAAACUAUGCCAAAGAUGUCUAGAGUUUUGUUUCCUAGAUAUACAGAACUCAUAGAUUCCUUGAAUGUCUUUUUAUAUAAUGAAAUUGAAAUAUAACACCUAGUUCUUUGUUACUAUUCCACAUCAUAUGCCUAUCACAGAAUUGCUUAUAAUUCAUUGUAUUUAAAGAUAUAUAAGUAUAGAAGUUACAGAUUGCCUGCUUCCUGAAACAGAGAAUUCCGCAAUCAUUUGCAAAGAAAAUAUCUUUUUUUCUCCUUGCUAUCUUUUUUGCAAAUACGUGUUAAGUUUUUAAAUGCUUUGUAGACAGUUUUAAGAGGGCAGAAGACGUUUUUAAAAAUUAAGUUAUCUUUCUUUGCCUGAAAGUUUUUUUUGAGAAAAUUAUGAAGAUGCUCAGAAUUGUGAUUAAAAUGAACAAAAUCAGAAGCAGGCACAUUUCUUCUUUACCUAAUGAUAUAGUGACGCUACUGUUCUUACAAGAUCAGCUGUAAGCUCAGUUUUACAAAUCUUGUCAGAGUUCUGUGACUUCCCAUAGUUUUGCCAGCAGCACUUUGAGCUGUUUGCUAAAGUGCAGCUUAAUGUUUUUUUGCAAUUUUAUGAUGUGACUUUCUUGUAGAAUGCAUGGAGAAAGGGAGAUGUAUUUCUUCAUUGCUAACAGGUUUUUCUAAAUUUCAGCCAACUGCUCUUGGCGGUAAAAUGAGCUUUUAUUUAAUUAGUUACUAAAUUGUUUUAAUAACUUGCAUAUAAUCAGACUGUAUUUACUUUGUUUUCAACUAUCUGUAUGCUGGCUCCAUAGCAUUUUAUAGUAACUUAUUGUUUUCACAGUGCUAGGAGUAAUCAAAUAGUACUAGAAACCUCUUGUGUCAGGUAUUCAUUCACCUGCGUUUUGACAGGACUGCCUGUACUCAUGAAGUCAGACAUAUUCCUAGAUAUGUUAAAGUAGAACUGACUUCCUCUCCCUUCCUCCCACCCUUACUCCCAGGAAUGCUGUUCAAAGGCAAAUCUGCAGUAGACUUGCACUGAAUGUCACAGGAGAAAGGCCGACGGAAGAAGAUCUUCAGUGCUUCUGCUAAAUAUAACUGGAUUUAAAAGACCCAGUCCUGUACUACAUCUACAUAUUUGUCAAACCUGUUGUUGAAUUCAGUGAAAGUUCUAAGUAAAACGAUGCUAUGAUGUUUUGUAACACUUCCAGGAAAAAGGGAAAAAAGGAAAUAUUUGCCACGUGGAAAUUACAGGGUACAUCAUGACAGAGCUCACUGUCACUUGUUAGCUUUGACAUGGAUGCUGCCCAAUGGAAACGACCCCCAUGGGAGAUGAGUACUUACAGAUAAAACCAGUCCGAACGUUUCUGACAGGGUGGCACAAAGGAUUAAAGACAGAAACAGGAAACCCGCACACCUCUGCAUCUGAAAAGAAACCGCACCAGGGUAAGCGCUUCAGGUUGCUCGCUGCCUGGCUUCUAGCUUGGAUCCGCAUAGCAGGUGGCAUCAAGUGUGACCACACUGUUAAAGGCCAUCUUCAGGUAUGUACAUAAAAUCUCUAAUUUUAUAUAAGUAGUGGAGAUGAAUUCUAGACUUGAGAGAUGAGUUACAAGACAAAAUUGUCUCCCAUAUGGUGGUGUAAUACCAGCAAAACUCUGAUGUUACAAAAAUAAAAUGCCUUAUUAGGGGGAUUUCAUCAUCCAACUAACUAGAAUUGAUUCUUUUAAGAGCUGUGGAGAUGCCUAGCUUUGAGUCUGUUCCAGUAUUUGCAAGGGGACCGCUGACAUGCAGUGCCACUAACAACUUGAGUUACUUUUUUUUCUAGAUUGGAAACAACUGUAGAUUUUUAAGAUUGGUGUUUUAACUCUGAAUACAGAAGUUUACCACAACGGAGCAUGGAGGUCAGAAGUGCAAGAUUUCCUGUGGCUAAGUUGAAUUCUGAGUGGGAAAGGCAUACAUUUCUUUCCAGUAGAGUACAGACACUGACAGCUCUGAGUAUCUAGGAGCAAUGAGGAAUUCUGGAUGCCAACAGGGCUGUGAGCAGCUUCAAUGACCUAAAAAUGUAAUGAUAGUUUGCUGGUAAAUGAUGACAGUGUCACAGAGCAGCAGUAUUAUCCCACUUUUUGAUACCUUAGCUGCUCAUUAUUAACCUAAUGAGGCAGAAGCUGAUGACAUUGCAUUUAUCUGAAAGUCAUGUAGAUACACAACUGUAUUGUUUUUAAGGUAGUUUAUUCUUUAAGUCUUUGAGAAACCUCUGGAUUAUUUUGGUCUUUCAUAUAUGUAGAACUUGCUUCUUCUUUACUGGAUGUAGAACUGAAAAUUUGGUGGUUUUUCUGGUUUGAGUUGGUUUUUUGUGGCUUUUUUUUUCUUAAAAAAACCCAUAGUAAUAAGUGAAAGGUCAUUUUCUUCAUCCUUCUAAAGCUUUUACUAUUGUUUUUCUCCCAUUUUCCCAAUUUGUAAUUCCUGCAAAAUGUAGGCAAUUUUCACUGAGAGUAUCUUUUACCCAUUUUUACCACCUGCAGCUCAGUGUCAAAUAGAACUAAAUAUUAUAGAUACCCACUGUAUGAAGGGCCGUUUUUGGUUCUGAAUUACACUGAUAUCAACUAAUAAUUUCCUGUUAUUACAUCAAUCAGUGUGCUACUAGUGCUAUUAUUCACACUACAUAUAUCAUUACAACAAAAUUGUCCCCAUAUUAUAUCUUUUUAAAUGGUUUUUACUUCAGGAUGCACAUUGAUUUUAGGCUAAUUGUGUAUUUAAGAAAGAAACAAUGGAAUAAAAGGUUUGGAGGAAUAUUCUGAAAAAAAAAUGCUAUACUCACUAAUAUUGUGUAGAAUCUUGAUCAAUGGUUCAUAAAACUUGCAGGAGAAUAAAAUGUAUGUCAGAUUUGGUUACAGUUAGCCAACAGGUUCAAGCCUACCAAGGACAGGUUGCCAGCCAGUACAAUUAUAUAACUUCAUUUCCUAAAGAUGUCAGACUGAAAUAGAAGCUCUCCUGAUGAGAGUUUUUUUAAUAACCUGAGAAAAGCCCUGAGAUUCUGAAAUAGAAAUUCUAAGAAAUACCAUUUGUCAGGGUUUCUGGUUCUCUCAGUAGUGGAUCAAUAGAGGUUGCACAUCCUACUCUAUUUUCUAGUCUCCUGCCUUCCCAGACUACUGCUAUCUGGGCAAAGUGGCUACAUGUAGUAGAGCCUCUGCUUCACCAGUGUCAUUUAUAGGGCCACUUAAAGAAGGGAAUGCUUUCAGAGACACUCCCUCUCUCAGAAGCAAACAUAAUGCCUCUGAUGUCAUUUUGUUUUGCACCAUAUGAAAUGAAGUAUU